UUUAAGUAUUAUCAUUGAUUUUUGUUUUUUUUUUGUAGGUAAAAGGGUCCAGUUAGACAGAAUUGGCUGCUUUGAAGUUGUACAUUUU